UGGACUGUGAUUAGUACAUUGCUGAAUGGGUCUUGUCCACAGUGUUUAUUAAUCAGGCAGGUGGCUAGGUGUGGCCACGAGGAAAAAAAAAAUGGAGCAUGAUGACAUAUCAAUAACAAUGGAAAUCCUUUAAAUGAAGGAGCUCUGCUGAAACUUACAGGGUUCCAAUGCAGAGUAUUGGGGCAGUAUACAUGCUGCUGUAAAUGGACUUCAAAGCCUCUCUGCAUCACUCUGGGUGUGAAUAAAGUCAACUAAUGAACUUGACAACCCUGGACAAAAGAAGCUGCAAAAUCUGCAUGCAUCCCAGUCUAGGUGAGGCCAGUGGGAUCUCCAUGGGCCACAGUGAAGAAAUAUCUUUUACCUGUGAUAAUAUCUUCAAUGGCACCAUCUUUUCCCUCAUAUACAUGUCUGUUAUCUUUAACUUGUCGUCUUCUUAAUUCUGCAAUUAACUCUUGCUGCUGCCUCUUUGAUUUAUGAGAAGGAGACUGAGAAGAAAGAAGGGCAGAGAUUAGUGAGGCCAGCACCCAUUAGGAGUUUGUGAAAAUCCAAAAUGUGCCUGAGCAUUAUGUUACUAAUAAGCAGCUUCGGCCAAAAACACACACACAUCCCACAUUCUGCUCAGUUGCAGAGAACUCAAGCUUCUGGGAAGGAAACAAAAACUUCCACUGACGAACACACAAAACUUCACCUGGCAGCAACAAGAAGGCUGGAGUCUACGGCAACAAGAGGCAACUGGUAAUGACCAUAGAUGUCUUAAACUGUGUUGCCAAGGAUCACAAUGAAGAAAACUUUGGACUGCCAGCCUUUAUGCUCUUUACCUACUAACGAGGUUGCCCUCCAUGAAAUGUUCCCUCCAUUCCUGCUAGCAAGUCCCUCCAGCUAUCAAGGCCAGCACCAAUGGGCAUCUGCAUAAAGCCUUCUCUGGAUGCUAAGCCCUCUGGUCACUGGGUCAUCUGGUGUGGCCUCUCUGUAUAUCCAACUAAGUUCCAGAUGUCUAUACGCUUGGAUAUGCUACACAAACAUGCUCUUAGCCUCAUUCCAGUGGUUGCAGAACAAAGUAAUCAAUGAGCAUAUUUCCAUUUGCCAAGUGUCCAGGCACCAGAAGGAAGUGGUCAGGAUCCUGGGCACACCUGGCUUGCUGGUCCUUUGUAUGGCUUGCUCUGAAGAGCCCUCUCAGCCUCUCCUCACGGACCUGUCUCAUGAGUGCGGCACUUCUUACCUUUGGAUCCUGCUGCUCCAUCAGAGCUUCUUGCUCUAGGAGUUUUUCCAUGAGAGCUUGUUCCUGCUUUUUCCUCAGCUCAUUUUCCUCUUCUGCUUGCUGGGUAAAUCAAAAGAACCAGAAAGAUGAUGUUAAUGGAAAUGAGAGCAGCCAAGAUUUUUUAAAGUCAUUCUUCAAGCAUCCUUAGUGAGUUGAGAAUUACAAUAAAUGGAAGGUUGAGAAGAUCUACACUUUAUGCCUGUAUUUAGCUCUGCUUCUGGGCUUCGCUACCUGUCACAUCUCUUUAAAAGCUGGGAGCUGAGAUUCAAUUCAUCCAGAAGUCCUUUCCUGAUGAUCGCUCCCUGUUUGAACUUUCUCUUAGUCUCUGUCCCACACACUGGUGGGCACCUACCAUCCUGGCAGCUGUGCUCAGUGAUUUUGUUUUCCUUUCAGAGACAGUCUGCCUACCUAGAGUUCCUCUGAUAGCAGGAUCUAAGAUUCUUCUGCCUUCUGCCUAUUGUUAGGGGAAAACCCUCAUUUCUUUUCGGGGCCUCACCAGAGUGACACUCUUGGACUCUCCCAUGCCUUGCUCCUUCCCAAGGAAGGCAGUGUGACUAGUCUGAUGAAUCUAGAAGAAAGUGAAUAGGCUCACCUCAGCUCAGCCCUCUUGGGCACUCUUUCUUUUGAAGCCGGCCUCCCCGAAGAGACCUCUAGUUGUCAAGCUGUGAACUGAUGGACAGGUCAUCUACCUAAUUUGCAGCUGAAGCAGAAGGUCACAGACACCACAUCCUCCAGCCCAGCUGUUAUCAGUAAUAAAGUUUACAUUUGGGUCUCCAUUGCUUUUGUUUUCAUUUUGGUCUAUAUGAGAGGGAUGAUGUCCUAAAACCCCAACCUCUGCCUACAAAGUCCCUAGGUGAGUGCCAGGCUAGGAGGCUAUUCAUCACGUAUAGGGCAAGAAAAACAUCCUGGCAGUCACAUCACUGCCUGGCACAUGCUUCACUGAAUCAGCUGUGAAAAAUCACAGGGAGGAACAGUGAGGUGGAAGGAGCACGCUGAUGGACAGGCUGGGACCUCCAACACAGCCCAGACCACCAAGGGCAGCUUCUUUUUUCCUCUGCUCCACGCAUAUCCCUGCUGAUGCCUCAGGCUUUGAGACAAACCCCAGCCACUUCCCAACCUGUCUUAGCCGAUUUUAAAAUAUAUUUUCUCUUUUGACCUUAGACUUACAUGUUUUUAUGUGAAAAAAAUGGCACAGCACAUGACAAGGGCCAUCGCAGACUAUCUCUACAGCACAUAAACACAGCCAGCCAGUGGGCUUGGGCUACCAAGCACUGCAGACGGCAGCAGUUGGUGGCCCGCAGCCUUCUCAUCACGAGCAAAUCCUGAGUCUGGCACACGGAGUUUGUGCUGUGUUUCUGUUCACCCUGACUGCCACAGACGUUCCUUCUACCAGCAGCUUAUAGCUCUACUGCUACAUUAAGCCAUGCUGAGGGAAGAUGGGCUAAGAAUAUUUUGACUUUCUGAGUUUUAGUAAAAGGCCCAAUAAUGAUUUUCCAGAGCCUUCAGCCCCUAGUGGUGUUAGGGAAGUGUCCCCCUAUUUCCAACAGGACUUCUCAAAAGUGUGGAGAACCCUGCCACAUCCCUCCUCCCCUCUGCAAUAAACAUUCCUCCUACCUCCACCAGUGUUAUCAGUGCUACAUGAAGAUACGCCUGGAGGAUAUAGAUUGAGGUGUUGCCAAGGUCAGCUAAAAUCUUCUAACAGCCUUCUUGUAAUUUCUCAAAUGGACAAAUCCUUCUGAUACAUGUCUCUUUGCGUCAUAGGCUUUUUCAAGACCACAGCCCUGGAUUAUGUCCAAGAGGGCCUCCCAUUUAAAGGAAGGGCCACUUACUGAUCCACACAAAGAAACAGAGAGUGCCCAUCCUUAAAAGCACCAUCCUUUAGUCCAUACUAGAGAAAUGCUGGUCUAAGAGGUCCUAAGCCCUGUGCUAUGACUUACACAAGCAGGCUCUCCUUAACUUCAGCUGUAUCAUGCACCUUCACCACAGCCCACAGCUCACUUCUACCCAUUAAAGAAUUCCACAAGAGGCCUGGAUUUUCAAGUACUUCACCUUGCCUGCCUAGGUGAACAGUCAAUGGGGCAGCAAUGUCUUUGAGCAUCUCCCUUGCCCCAAGGGGGCUGCCAAGAGCUUUGUUUUCUGGCUGAGGCAGAGGACUGGCUAGGUGGAGAAAGGGACCAUAAUGUCCCUCAGCCUCCACAGAGCUAGGGACUGCUAUCUCGUGAAUGCCACCCAGAUCUGCUGUCCACAGGAACUGGGAGGCCUCUGCAGAGAGUUGGGACUCAGACACAUCUCAAGGAGGGCAAUUGCUUGAGAAAUAAGGGCAAGGAGGGCCUUAACAUAUACCUUAUAUGCUUUCACAAACCGGACAAAGACAGGAAAGAAGACAGAGGGUGGUGUUGUCUUGGGGUUUUCUCCAAAAUACUUCACAACAUCAUCAAAGGCAUCCUGUGAAGAAGCAAAUUUUUCUUGAGUUUCAUUAGUUAGGCAUUUGAACUGGAUGCUCUAGGGGGAACGCUGAUGCAAAGCAGCAGCCACAAGACAGAGGCUCCCAUGGCCUUGCGUUGCUGCACCUCCCUUACCUCCCAAGAUUGCCUAACGCCUCCGUGUUUCCUCCAAACGCCUCAGCAGAGGCAAUCCGAGGAAUGCAAUAGUGGGGCACAGGAAUUCAUCUGCAGGACCUCCUGCCACUUCUACACACAGGCAUACAUGCAUGCAUGCACACGCACACACCCCACAUACAAAACAAGGAAAUCUUUCUUACAGGAGUUUCCAAAGGCCGUGGCAGAACCCCUUAAAACCAACAAGGUCAAAAGGGAUCUUGGUCACUCUGACCCUAAAUUCCACUUCCUUGCUUCAACACUCCCUAUGACAGCCUCACACAGGGGACACUCAGUCUCUGCCUGAACUCUUCCAUGAUACAAGAUUGCCCCAAACCAGAGGCCCUUCCACUGAAUCUGCUUUCUGAGUCCCCAUCCCCCAACUUUGCCUCUGCCUCUUCUGAUAGCGUACUGUUCAUUCUGUUUUGCAGGCCUGCCUAUCUAUCAGCAACCCCCAGUAUAGUGUAAGAUUUUCAAGGACAAGAUCUACAGAAACCCACUACACAGGAAACACUGCUUUGCCGAGCACAGGCCUGACGCAUGUGGGCUGAACUGAAUACAGCACCCACACUGGAACUACGGAAAUGACGUUAGACAAAAAGCAAAUUCAAGCAAUUUUCUUAUUUGAGUUCAAAACGGGUUGUAAAGCAGUGAAGACAACUCGCAACAUCAACAAUGCAUUUGGCAAUGCAUUUGGUGGUUCAGGAAGUUUUGCAAAGGACACGAGAGCCUUGAAGAUGAAGAGCUUAGUGGCCGGCCAUCAGAAGUUGACAA
ensembl:lncRNA novel transcript, antisense to FMNL2